rnacentral:lncRNA from 1 species
CUCUCUCUUUCUUUUUCUUUUUUAUUCCUCCUCUCUCUACUUACUAGUGUAGUUGCAGUACCAUAUACAGAAACAUAAUUUCAAAUAAUCUUAAUGCAUACAUUUUGUUAGAUUAAAGAUGAAAAAUUCAUAAAAAGUCAAACCAUUUUAAAAUUAGUUUUAUUAUUGGUAGUAGCACAGUAAUGGUUUACAAUAAGUAGUAUGUGAUUUUCUUAAUACCUUAUCAACCAAAAUUGCCAUCAUGAGAUAAUAAUGCAAAAGUAAAGUAAGAAUUUAAGAAAAAAAUUUAUAAUCAUAUUUGAAUUGGAACGUACACUGUUUUCUACUUUUUUUAAAGUGCUUACUUUGUAUCUUUAUCUGCUAAAAAAAGAAAGGGCUUAUAAGCAAUGGAAAAUCCAGUAGCAAUGGUUACCUUUAGUGCCUGUUUGUAAACUCUAAACAUUAUUUUACAGAAGAGAAAACCCAGGAGCUAGGAAUUGGGUUUUGGGCAGAAAUUAUGCAUAAUUAUAUGGGAAUAUCUUAUAAAAGCAAGGAAGCUCUCAAAAAAUUCUAGGGAUGUUAGAAAAAGAUCCAGGAUAGGGUAAUUUGAACAUGAAAGAAAACAAUGACUGCAAUGGAUUAGAACUUAGAAAAGUGAGUAAGUCCACAAUAAAACUUGUUAAGCAUCAGUAACAAAAUACUUUUUAUAUAUUUGGAGGUAAUUUUGGCACCACCUUGUUAGUCUGAAAAUCAGUGAAAUAAGUAAUAAUCAUUUGUAAAUAAACAAUAAGCAUUUGUCCUGUUUACCUGCAUGAAUGGUAUUUCAGAACAAUGAAAUAGUAAGACAGGAAUGUUCUCAUUUGUAGAAUUGUGGAUAGUAAAUAUAGAGAAGGUGAUGGAUUUAGAAUAUUACCAUUUAAAAUUAUCAAUGAGAAAAAAUGGUACUAUGCAAAGAUUUUCAAAAGGUAUUAAAGCAAGUAGGUGAAGGAAAAACGACAAUAGAUGGAAAAAUGAUAAUAUGAGGAUAGUCACGUAGUUAUAGUGGACAAAAGAUUAUGGCUCCAAAGAUCAUUCCUCAUUCACUGCUCAACUCUGGUGCCUGGAAAACCUAAUUGGAUCAAAACAGGAAUAGGUCUUAAUACACGUAUGGAAAUGAGAAUCUGAUACAUCUAACAUAUCAGACUAAGGAAAAAUCUCCAGGGUUCUGAAGGAAUGCUCUUGGAUCGAAUCCAGCUAAGUUUGGACAUAUCAAGUUCUACACUUAGAUUUUUCACUUCUGGAAGAUUUUAAAAAUAAUUUGGUGACUGCUGUCUCUGAGCACAAAAUCUGAGUCUCAUCACUACAUAAUAAUGCCUAUUGUGUGGAUGCCUGCACACCUGAAACUGGUAAUUAAAUGAAACUACAGAAGUUAAAUAACUUGCCCAAAUUUACCAGCUACUAUGAUUUUCUCACCUGUAAUCUUGUCCUGAGCUGUAGGACAUCAAGAGAUGAAAAGGUGAAAGUUCGGACUGAUGAUAGUUCCUGCUGAAGAAGAGAGGACUGCCACCAUUUCAGUGGACACAGCCAAGAACACAUUUUCCUUUGAAACACACAGAGCACACAAGGUUAGGUUAUUGAAUUUAAAUUCCAAGUUUUUAAAGAUUCAAAAUCAGAAAAACCAGUCAGACACCAACUGGAAUCAAUAAAUUAUGAGAAGACUUAAAAUGGUAGUUGAAAAAGUGUUUGAGGAACGAGACAGAAGAUGGAAAGGAAGUAGUGUCGGUAGGGGAUUAGUUGAUUUACCAAGGGCAUUUAUAACGUGGUUUUUGCUGACACAGCAGACACUCAUGAACCAAAGUGAAGGACAGGGGAGGGAGGCAGGGCUUAGAGAUAUUUCUAUACAAACCUUUAGGUGGCCGGCGACAAAGAGAUCAAGCCAUUUUUGCUGAUAAGCGAGGGCAAUUCACAGGUCAGAACUUUGAUCACGAGAAAUUUUAAUUACUCAGAUAUUGAUCAGAACACCUAGUAACCAACUACAGAAAGAAGAGUUUGGGAACAGAGCUGAAUUUCUUAACUUCACACUGGGGGACCUGACUGCUCUUCUUAGACUGUGAUCAGUUGCUAUUCUAAACAUAUCCUAGGAAAAAAGCCAACUAUAAUAAAGGCUCAGACUUUGGGGAACAUCAGUGCCUGAAAUAUCACUAGACUUUAAAUGCUAAGUGGAAGAAACAUUAAAGGAAGCUGAUUUUAAAAGAAUGUGGGGAAAGCCCUAAGGACCUUUGAAAUUUUAUAAUGUAAAGGGGAAAAGGAGAAGAAUAUUUAAAGGAGAAUAGAAGUGCUUUUCAAAAUCAAUAAAAAAAAUUAAACUGUCUUAAUGUCCUCAGGUCAGCAAUACUGUCUCAGAGCUAGGAUCUGCCCCAACAUAUCAGGUGUCUCUCUGGCUACUGAAAACUUGUUCUUAUGACUUGGUUACAUAUGUUUAGAG